AUUGAACGCUGGCGGCAUGCCUUACACAUGCAAGUCGAACGGCAGCACGGACUUCGGUCUGGUGGCGAGUGGCGAACGGGUGAGUAAUGUAUCGGAACGUACCUUUCAGUGGGGGAUAACGUAGCGAAAGUUACGCUAAUACCGCAUAUUCUGUGAGCAGGAAAGCGGGGGAUCGCAAGACCUUGCGCUGAUUGAGCGGCCGAUAUCAGAUUAGCUAGUUGGUGAGGUAAAGGCUCACCAAGGCGACGAUCUGUAGCGGGUCUGAGAGGAUGAUCCGCCACACUGGAACUGAGACACGGUCCAGACUCCUACGGGAGGCAGCAGUGGGGAAUUUUGGACAAUGGGGGCAACCCUGAUCCAGCCAUGCCGCGUGAGUGAAGAAGGCCUUCGGGUUGUAAAGCUCUUUCGGCCGGGAAGAAAUCGCAUAGGUUAAUACCCUGUGUGGAUGACGGUACCGGAAUAAGAAGCACCGGCUAACUACGUGCCAGCCGCCGCAGUAAGAC
rnacentral:rRNA from 1 species